AUCAUGGAGAGUUUGAUCCUGGCUCAGGACGAACGCUGGCGGCGUGCUUAACACAUGCAAGUCGAACGGGAAGAAAAGAAAGAGCUUGCUCUUUUUUGGAUUCUAGUGGCAAACGGGUGAGUAACACGUAAACAACCUGCCUUCAGGAUGG
rnacentral:rRNA from 1 species